rnacentral:tRNA from 1 species
GUCCUCAUAGCUCAGCUGGAUAGAGCAUACGAUUCCUAAUCGUAAGGUCGGGAGUUCAAACCUCUCUGGGGACACCA